AAAUCUCACUAAAUCUCUAAAAAUCUAUGCAAAAUCUUUUCAAAUCUACAAAAUCCUUAUCAUAUCUCAACAAGAUCUUCAUGAGAUCUAUAUACACAGAACAAAGGGAAACGACAUUGGUCAAUACACACACGAAUGAGGAUAAAACCCUCAUAUCCUUUCUCUCAUUUCACGCACACAACCACAGUUCUCAUCUCUCCUCUGCAUCAUUGAAAGAAAACCCUAAGCUAACAAAAAACACAGACCUUAAAAACCCUCAUCUUCCCAACCUUUUCACAAAAUUAGUUCAUCAAAACACUCUCGUGCACACAAGCAGUCCCACUCUCCCUCUCGAAUUCCUUUCACCUCUCCUCAGUGACCGGCGGUCGGUGAAAUGGUGGAGCCGGCGGUUCGUUUUGGCAGGCGAGAAACACCCCACCCACCCUCUUCUUCUUGGGUGAGACCACUGGCGGCGAUGGUUUCUCUAGGAGAUGACGACAUCACACAGCCCCCCCCCCUCCGAUGAGCUUCCGAUGACAUCAAUCAGGCAGAGAGCAGGGAAAAAGAGAGUGAGAGAGAUGAGGCGGAGCAGCGCCGCCGCUGACGGCGGCGGCAGUGGAGAAGGCGGCGGUGGUGUCAUUUUAUUCCGACGAAAGUCACCGACGACCUCAGAUGAUAUUGAUGACGGUGGUGGUCCGACGGCGGCGAGGCCACCGGAACCACGCCGUUUACGGCAGCUGAGUUGGUGUUGUCCAGUUUGAGUUUCAGCUUUGGUUCAAGUUCAGAGAUGGUUAUUUUAUUUCAAGCUAUUUUAAGCAUGGUUCGGGGUUAGCUCGGGUGCGGUACACGAUUAGUUUCGGCUCAGUACAACAGGUUCGGGUCAGAUGUCGUUCGGGUCGGUUCGAGUUAGUCGGCUCGGGUCAGAAAGGAAGCGGUUCGGGUUGACUCGGUCAAACCGAGUCAACUCAGUCAACAAGAAGCUGACUCGGUCAACUCAGUUGACCCAGUCAACAUCAGUUGACCCGGUCAACUCAGUCAGGCGCUUCGACUUUUCGGCGUGAAGACUCGGUAAAGAAUUUAGCACGCGAACAUUAUUUACGUUAAUUAAUUUAAUUAUUUCGUGACUAACGAGCUCGAACCGGUUCGAUUAGUAAUUUAUUUAUGACAUUUUGACGAAAACUACAUAUACAUUGUCGUUACGUUACGUUGAAUUGUUGUUGAUUGAAUUUCGAAAUUAUAACGACACUUUAGUUGU